GGAUGUAUUGGAAAUGUUAUUUUGAUUUUUUUGUCAUCAAGCCUCACUGAAGAAAUGCUGAAUACACUUUUGAGAAGUGGUUAUUGAAAGGAAGGUUGUAUGAACAUUCAUUAAUUUUUAAUAUAUCAUUUAUAUUUAUUUUAGACAAUCCUCUUUUUUUUUUUUUUUUGAAGUUUUGAAUAUCUGCAAUGGGAACAAUGAUAUGUACGUUAUGAAUUAAUAAUGUUGUAGCCUUGUUACUUUGUCAAUAUCUAUAAUGUCGACAAACUAAAUGUCCAGAAAUAUUAUUUUAAGUUGUUUUUUUGUCAUUAUUAACAAAGGUGAAUAUUUCUAGAAAAUAUUUUGUGCGAGGGUAUUUAUAAACAGUUACUGUAAACUGUAAAGCACUUUAUUUUGAUGACGCAAAUUAUUUCUACAAUAUUGUGUCCCUCACAACUUUACUAUGUAAAAUGUAAAAACAAUCUUUUUUCUUAAUGUGUUGAAUAAAUAUUACAUAUUACACAGCUUAGUAUUUGAAACAUAUCUUAAUGAAACAAUUUAACUCUUAAAAAUUUAACUAAAAAUAUCUCAAGAAAAUAUGAUUAUCAUCUUGUUCUGUAUAUUAAUCAAGAUAAUUUAAUUCCUAAUUACUGAUUUGAAUAUUUAUGUUAUACACACAAAUUUCAUUUUUAACAAAUCUUUCCCUUUUAAAAUCAGAUUUUGGUAUUUUUAGGAGACCUACUGGUAUAUUGAUGUGGAAAAGUGUGUUUUCAAAAAAAUGUCCUGAAAUAAUAUUAGUAGAUAUUCAAUGUAACUUUUUUAAUGCAAUAAUUGAAAGUUUAUCUGUGAUUUUUUUAUAUAUUUAAGAAACAAUGGAUGGAUGUCAGAACAAUUGUGUGGUUAGAGUUAAUUGUAUUGGUUUACAAGGUUAUGGUUUGUCAUUGCCAAGCCAGUUAUUUUAUAUUUAGUAGUGUGUUUAUAUAAAUAGUGUAUAUUUUACACAUGCUUGAUCACAUUUAAUGCAGUGAAUCAAUAUGUAAUCAUGUUUAAAUGAAGACUAAUCACUAUAAUUAUUUUAUAUUUAAUACGUUUUAUUAUAUGUAUUAUGUUUUUGUUUAUUCACCUUGUACUUUGUCGGGGCCACAGUGGCCGAGUGGUUAAAGUGUCCAUCGUAACUAGCCAUUCACCACUGGGUCACAGGUUGGAGGCCUACAUAGGGUAGUCUUCAGGUACUGGCUGAAGGUCAGAGGUCUUCAGGUACUGGCUGAAGGUCAGAGGUCUUCAGGUACUGGCUGAAGGUCAGAGGUCUUCAGGUACUGGCUGAAGGUCAGAGGUCUUCAGGUACUGGCUGAAGGUCAGAGGUCUUCAGGUACUGGCUGAAGGUCAGAGGUCUUCAGGUACUGGCUGAAGGUCAGAGGUCUUCAGGUACUGGCUGAAGGUCAGAGGUCUUCAGGUACUGGCUGAAGGUCAGAGGUCUUCAGGUACUGGCUGAAGGUCAGAGGUCUUCAGGUACUGGCUGAAGGUCAGAGGUCUUCAGGUACUGGCUGAAGGUCAGAGGUCUUCAGGUACUGGCUGAAGGUCAGAGGUCUUCAGGUACUGGCUGAAGGUCAGAGGUCUUCAGGUACUGGCUGAAGGUCAGAGGUCUUCAGGUACUGGCUGAAGGUCAGAGGUCUUCAGGUACUGGCUGAAGGUCAGAGGUCUUCAGGUACUGGCUGAAGGUCAGAGGUUUUCUCCGGUUACUCUGGCUUUCCUCCACCACCAAAGCCUGCUACCACUAGCCCUCCACCAAUGGGUCACAGGUUGGAGGCCUACAUAGGGUAGUCUUAAGGUACUGACUGAAGGUCAGAGGUCUUCAGGUACUGGCUGAAGGUCAGAGGUCUUCAGGUACUGGCUGAUGGUCAGAGGUUUUCUCUGGUUACUCUGGCUUUCCUCCACCACCAAAGCCUGCUACCACUAUCCCUCCACCAAUGGGUCACAGGUUGGAGGCCUACAUAGGGUAGUCUUAAGGUACUGACUGAAGGUCAGAGGUCUUCGGGUACUGGCCACAGGUCAGAGGUCAUCCACCACCAAAACCUGGCACCUCCUUAAAUGACCAUAGCUAUUUUAAAAUACGAGGUAAAGCAAAACAAAAAACACCUUGUACUUACAUCAUGAAUAUUUAUUGAUACCAUGAAUAUUCAUUAGACUGAUAGUACCACAUCUUUUACCAUAUUUUGUCAAUAUUCAUUACAUUGCACAAUGAGAAUACUAUGAUUUCAUUAUAUUAAUGAGCUAUUGUCUAAUUAUAUGAUAAUCAACAAGUGUCUUCGUCUGCAGGUUGAUAUCAGAGGUGGUUCCCAACGAGAAGUUUGACAAGGCAAACCAAUUUCUCCAUACUUGUUUAUUUAUUUCAUAUGUGGAAAUUAUGGGAAUAUUGGUUAGAAAUAAUCAUUAAGUAGCAUUAAAAUACAAUAAAUGAUCAAGAAUAUAAAAUAUUUAAAUAUGCUGACUGGAACAUUUUUUUGAUUAAAAAAUUUACAAACCUGAUUGUUCACAAAACUUAAUUGUAUUUAUAGUAUUACAAGCUGUGUUUUAUAUUUAAAGUGAGUGAAAGGAGUGUUGGUUUUCGCAAAUGUUAUAAAAUGUAUCUUUACUAUUUAUAAUACUGAAAAAUAUGCCUUCAGCUCCCACGUUUUUUUUCAUAAAAAUGGAUGGAGAUUGUAUAGAAAUUAACAGAAAUUGAACAUAGAAAUCAUAAGAAGUGAUGUUGUUAAUUAUGUAUGAUAUUUUAGAGUGAUGUUUAUAAUAUGUAAGUUGUUGUAGUAUAUGUUUGAGUUUUUAUAUGUCUGAGAAAAGUAUGAGAGAAAGUGUGAUAUUGGCUCGCCAUUGUAAUGCAAGAUAGUUGUCUUUCUAAUUUUGAAAAGGAAGAUUGAAAUUCCUGUUAAGAAACAGACAGCUAUAGAGUGAUCAACAUGAUCUUGUGAUAAGGAUUGUUGAUGUCAUAACGUCCACUCGUAAUCAUAACGUGGUGUUAGCAUUUAAGUGAUAUUUCUACAUAUUUCAAUUUUUUAGCUGAAAUUAAUUUUCAAUAGAUAAAUCCUGUAAAAUUUACUGAUUUUUUGUGUGUUUCAUUGAUAAAAAUCCCCUAAAAGUGUAAACAACAACACAAAAUGUAUAAAUAUUCCAAUAGAGAAAAGUGAGGUAUAGUCAAAAUCAGCCAUGCAUGGCCUACUCAAUUUGUGCAAACCAAGCGACCGAAAGGCCGAUAGGGAAGGAAGGCACUUUGGUUCACUGUUAUUAGAUUAAAAGUUUCAUUGAUGUGCUACCCAACAUACAACUUUACUCAGCACAUUAUGGAGGCCUAUUGUGUUUAUUUUUUCCAGUAGCCUAUUGUGUUUAGUUAUACGGAUCAUGAGAAAGUGAUAUUGACCUCAAUUUCAUCUCGGGUUAAUAUCUCUUUCUCAGGUUCAUAAUAUACAGUUAUAGACCUAUUUUCAGGUGAAUACGAGGAUUUAUUAACCUUGGACCGGGGUUUUGGACUGUUAUAUUUACCUCACGUGCAUGGAUUCUGUAGGUUUCGGGGUAACAUCGCAAUAUAUUGAGACCCAUAAGAGGUGUUUUGACCAAUCAGCGUGUGGGAAAAAUGACAGUUUCACUUAUAUAUUCUUUUUUCAAGUAUGUUUCACAAGCCCAGUGAGUGUACAAAUGUACUUUAUUUCGGAACAAUUAAAAAAGAGUGAAAAUAUAAUGAUAUGUUAUGAAUGAACGAAUUGAUGUAUGAAUGUAUUAAUGAAUGAUUGAUUAUUAAAAUAAAAUGCCUGCAAAAAGGAGAAAUUAGAGAGGAAUUGCAGUCGUUGAGAUCAAUAUCAGGUCUCCUGAACACAGUUACCUCCAAAUCAAUUAACAGAGACAUUAUCUUUUUAAAUAUGCUCCAUAUAGAGUACCACUGACAUUCAGUAAAUUUUGAAAGUGAUGAUGUUCAUUUUAUGAUCAAAUUCUCUUUAAUUCAAUAAGUUGCAAUGAAUUUUAACAAACAUACCUGACAUUUACUAAUCUGGACAAUCAGAAUUUUCUGUUCAGAAAAUUUUUCAAAUUUAACAGAUUAAGUAUGAAAUCUGAACUGCUAAGUAGUUGUGAGAGAGCCUAGUAAGUUGUAAGAACUUGUGCCCAAUCUCUUUGACUAUUCAGUGUCAUUAAAAUAAGUUUGAAUGAAAAAUGCAAAGUAGCCAAAAAAGUGAAAUAAAUGAUUGUCAUAAAUGGUUUAUAGUGUUUGUUUAUACAGGAGUACACCCUUUCAUUUAAAAGAGACAAAGCAAAUGAAAACCAAUAAGUUGGUCGUCCAAAACUUAACAGUUUUGGCUUAUCGGUAAUCUAUUCUUUUUCCUCUGUCCGAUCAUUUUCCAAUUAUUGUUAAGAACUGACCGUAAUCUCUUGCAUUGUAUUUUGGGUGGCUCCAUGCCUAUUCAUGAUAGAUGUUUUUGCAUCCGAAGUUUCACGUGACAAUACAAAUUGUUGGGUUUGCAGACUUUUGUGUUACACACCACACUCUCUAGUUGCAUGCAUGAUACAAAUGCCUCCAGUUUCAUUGGAUAACAUCAGCAGUUUAGAUGUUAAUUUAAGUUAAACUUAGUUCACCACUAACCUGUAUACCAGGAUUUUUUUUAACCCAGUCAAACUUCCGCCCUUUACCGGUAAAAUCUAUAUUCGCCCAGUUUUAAAUUCGCCCUUAACAUUUGAUUACUAAAAUGUUGCAUAUGUAUGUUCGCUGUAAUGAUAAAUUAGCCCUCAUGCAGGGUGACAAUUAAACUGCAGCAGAAAUUUUCCGGUAUACAGUAUGACCUUGAACGUGUUUCAGACCUUUGCUCACUAUACACCAUCUAGUUACAAUGUAUCUUUUAUUCGGGUUGAUGGUCUUCCUUCGGGGAAGGUUUUGGCCCCCAGAGGUGCACCAACUGGGUGCAUCAUGCCCAUUAAGGGACUUGAUGGCUCUCAGUGUUAAUGGUUUAAGAUGCAGCCUACUGCCUUGAUAUUACUGCAGCCCCUUCCUACUACAUCACCCUUCUGCCUCCUCACGUCUAGUCAGACACUUCCAUCAGCCUCUUUCAAACUGUUCUUACCACGGCCAGCAACCUCACCAUCCUCAAUGAUCAACUAUGGAAGCCCUGCAUCCAUCCUCUACAGGCAGAUACCAAACCCUCCAACCAUGUUGCUGGCAGUCUUCCAUCAGCUGCUGGUACUUCUUCCUCUCACGUGCCUCUCUUGUCCUGUCUUUCCAUGGUACAAUGAGUUCUACCAUCUAGACUUGCUUAAUUCUUGAUAUGGGCCUGUGCUAGGAAAGCCAUCCUCUGGUGAAUGUAAACCCUCAUUUUCUAUCUCUUGCUUUUGCUAGUACUUCCAAGGUGCCAUUUCCAUUGGUCCCUGUCUUCACAAGAUUGACAAUUUGGUUUUUUCAUGACUGUCAUUUUCUUCCUUCUGGCAUUGUCAGAACUCUUUUCAUCUCCUAGAUCACAGUGCUAUGUGUACUUCCCAUUUGUGUUAGGCAAUUGUGUACAGUGAUAGCACAUGUGCCAGAUUGGCAGGUCGUCCGCAAAGUAAACAUGUUGCAUUUUCCUUCAAUCCUCAGGUUAACAGAUUUGUGGGCUCAGUAGAACAUCAUACAUGGACCUGUACCCUUCCAUCAUCUGGAUGAUAGUUCGUGAACAUUUUGCUCUUUUGUGCCUUCCCAAUGUAGCAAAGUCUAGUGUUUACUCAUGCAGAUGGCCCCUACCCGCCUUUACUCCUCUUCCAUCACUCUGAUGGCUGGCAGAGUCAACUCUAUGUAGGUCUAGCUAUUGUUUCCAGUCCAAGGUGUCCUUCAUGGACACAGCUCUUGAUUCUUUACCCCUCGAUAUGUUUAUUAGGGGGAUUAUCUUGAUAAUCGAUAAUUCAAAACUUAAAUAACGAUACAGACACAAAAGUUACCUUGUUAUAUACAGAUUAUCAAUACUGAGAUUAACAUUUCCGACUUUAAUGGGAGGAGAGGGUUACAUGUGGAAAUAUGUCCAUGUUGUGAUGGUAUAAUUUUCAUUUAUAUGUAUACGUAUAUGUGGUAGGUACAUCUUGUAUCAAAUUGUUUCAUCAUGCAUGGUAUUUCAAGUAAAAACACACAGUGAAAGGAGACUUCUGUCACUGCAAAUACUUGUCCCAUUAAGAAGAACAAAGCAUGGUUGGGGACUGAUAAAUGACAAGACCAACUGGCAUAAAACAUAUUGCAACUAUUCUGCAAGUUCAUUUAAUGUAACAGUAUAAUUCAACAUCAUACAUAAUUACCAAAGGAUCAUAUCCUCAAUCAUUAUUCACCUUGUAUCACAUACAUAGGUUAUCAAUUAGUUUUACUUUCGGGGUAAUGAUACUAUGAAAAACUUCACCUGAUUUCACAGACUUGCUUUAGUUUCUUUCAGGGGAAAAUGGGGAUUUACUAGGUAGAAGUUGGAUGGAAAAUUUUGUAAUGCUCCGAAUACACAAAGGGCAAUAACUCUGCAAAUAACUAUCGAUUCAAUGUCUGAUACACAUACACAACUAUAUAAAGACGGUGGUAAACUCUUAUGAGUUUUAUGGCAUAUGGAUGGAAAGUAAAGUUGUUCUUACCAAAAAAAAAAGAUUAUGAAUGGACACACUGUAACACGUUCCAUUUGUGAAGUGCUUAACCCUUUCACCCCUAGGUAACUUUAGUAGACUCUACUAUACAUUGAUCUGGACGAGUCCAUUAUGGUCUACAGUGGUGAAAGGGUUAAGAAUAAUUUCGUUAACUAUUUUGGCACUAUAUAAACUUUAUAUAAUAGUACCGGUACACAUCUCAUCUUGGUGGACAUAUUCUUAUCAAAUGAAAACUGUCUUCGCUACUUUGCAAGUCGAACUGUCUUUAUGCUAUUUGACAGUAAGAAAUUAAAAAUUUUGAAUCUCUCCUAAAACUAACUAUAUAUAUACUAUACACAUUUCCUUUGAAUCUAUUUAGCAUAAUUGCUAAAAAUUAAAUAGAA
rnacentral:lncRNA from 1 species